AUACCAUGGUGUGGGCACUUCCUCAACAACUCCUUGAAUCUUUCCCAUGCAUCACUAGUAGUCUCAUCUUCCAAUUGUUGAAAGGACAUGAUCUCGCUUCGAAACUU
rfam:Amborella trichopoda AMTR_V1.0_contig_45242, whole genome shotgun sequence.